GGCUGGUCCAAAGGUAGUGAGUUAUCUCACUUGGUUGUUCAUAGUCAGUUACAGAUUGAACUCCUUGUUCUACUACUUUCCCCCCUCCUCACUACUGCAUUUGACUCGUCUAAA
rnacentral:Y_RNA from 1 species